rnacentral:rRNA from 1 species
UACGGAGGAUCCAAGCGUUAUCCGGAUUUAUUGGGUUUAAAGGGUGCGUAGGCGGCUUUUUAAGUCAGGGGUGAAAGACGGUGGCUCAACCAUCGCAGUGCCCUUGAUACUGAAGAGCUUGAAUGGACUAGAGGUAGGCGGAAUGUGACAAGUAGCGGUGAAAUGCAUAGAUAUGUCGCAGAACACCGAUUGCGAAGGCAGCUUACUAUGGUUUAAUUGACGCUGAGGCACGAAAGCGUGGGGAUCAAACAGG